UGGGGAAUUUUGGACAAUGGGGGAAACCCUGAUCCAGCCAUCCCGCGUGUGCGAUGAAGGCCUUCGGGUUGUAAAGCACUUUUGGCAGGAAAGAAACGUCAUGGGUUAAUACCCCGUGAAACUGCCGGUACCUGCAGAAUAAGCACCGGCUAACUACGUGCCAGCAGCCGCGGUAUUACGUAGGGUGCAAGCGUUAAUCGGAAUUACUGGGCGUAAAGCGUGCGCAAGCGGGUCGGAAAGAAAGAUGUGAAAUACCAGAGCUCAACUUUGGAACUGCAUUUAUAACUACCGGGCUAGAGUGGGUAAGAGGGAGGUGGAAUUCGGCGUGUGGCAGUGAAAUGCGUAGAUAUGCGGAGGAAAACCGAUGGCGAAGGCAGCCUCCUGGGAUAACACUGACGCUCAUGCACGAAAGCGUGGGGAGCAAACAGG
rnacentral:rRNA from 1 species